rnacentral:rRNA from 1 species
AACAAACGCUGGCGGCGUGCCUAAUACAUGCAAGUCGAACGGGGAAAGCUUUCGGGUGAGUACUAGUGGCGCACGGGUGAGGAACGCGUGGAUAAUCUGCCUUAGAGUGGGGGAUAACUAGUCGAAAGAUUAGCUAAUACCGCAUAAGACCACAGGAGCUGCGGCUCAAGGGGUCAAAGGUUUUUCGCUCUAAGAUGAGUCCGCGUAAGAUUAGCUAGUUGGUGAGGUAACGGCUCACCAAGGCGACGAUCUUUAACUGGUCUGAGAGGAUGAUCAGUCACAAUGGAACUGAGACACGGUCCAGACUCCUACGGGAGGCAGCAGUAGGGAAUAUUGCACAAUGGAGGAAACUCUGAUGCAGCAACGCCGCGUGAGUGAUGAAGGCCUUCGGGUCGUAAAGCUCUGUCGCAGGGGAAUAACACAAUGAAGGUACCCUGUAAGAAAGGAUCGGCUAACUUCGUGCCAGCAGCCGCAGUAACAC